rnacentral:rRNA from 1 species
GAUGAACGCUGGCGGCGUGCCUAAUACAUGCAAGUCGAGCGAACAGACGAGGAGCUUGCUCCUCUGACGUUAGCGGCGAACGGGUGAGUAACACGUGGAUAACCUACCUCUAAGACUGGGAUAACUUCGGGAAACCGGAGCUAAUACCGGAUAAUAUAUUGAACCGCAUGGUUCAAUCGUGAAAGAAGGUUUUGCUGUCACUUAUCGCUGGAUCCGCGCCGCAUUAGCUAGUUGGUAAGGUAACGGCCUACCAAGGCAACAAUGCGUAGCCGACCUGAGAGGGGGAUCGGCCACACGGGAACUGAGACACGGACCAGACUCCUGAGGGAGGCAGCAGUAGGGAAUCGGACGCAAUAGGCGAGAGCUUGACGGAGCGACGCCGCGCGAGAGACAGAGGUCUUGGGUGCGUAAAACUCGGUUAUGAGGUAAGAACAAAUGUGUACGGAACUAUACACGUCGUGACGGUACCUAAUCAGAAAGCCACGGCUAACUACGUG